AGAGGGUUAGUCCAAAUCAAGACCUCUGAUUUCGGCUCAGAAGAUCGUGGUUAGACUCCACGACCCUCUU
rnacentral:tRNA from 1 species